UAACACAUGCAAGUCNAGCGGUAGAANAGAANCUUGCUUCUCUUGAGAGCGGCGGACGGGUGAGUAAUGCCUANGAAUCUGCCUGGUAGUGGGGGAUAACGUUCGGAAACAAACGCUAAUACCGCAUA
rnacentral:rRNA from 1 species